rnacentral:lncRNA from 1 species
CAAAAGUAGAAAGAGGAAUGGAUCAGAGUAGAAGUAGAAGGAACGAGCUGCCCUGUAAGUUGAGAGAGGGUUUGAGUUUGUUAAUGAGAAGACUUUCUCGAAUGAGGAGUUCGUCUGGAGAAGAGCAACAAGAAAUAAUCUUAAAAUCAUUAAGAGAGGCGGAGUGACCAGUGCUAUCAAGAUGGGAAAGGAACUAGUGGAAGUGUGGAACUAGAUUCAACUUCACUAGUGAAUUUAAUAGUGAAGUUGAAUCUAGUUCCACACUUCCCUUUCUUGAUAUCAGCAUUUCUCGGAAGGAUGGUGUUUUCGAAACUUCUGUCUAUCGAAAGCCCACCUUCACAGGUCUGUUUACCAACUUCCGUAGCUUUAUUCCUUUUCAAUAUAAACGUAGCUUAGUUUCUUCUCUUAUUCAUCGUUUCUUUAGUCUUUGCUCCAAUUAUGAGAACUUUCAUGCUCAGUUAGAGCUAUACCGCCAGAUUCUUAAUAAGAAUUGUAAAAAUGUGUCUCAACCCAAACCAGCUGUUCAUUCUGCUCCUAAGAAAGUUCUAUAUUUCUCUCUUCCAUAUACUGGCGCUCACUCUCUUCAAAUUCGCACCCAAAUCUCCCGUCUUUGUUCCUCGGCCUUUCCCCAUCUUAAUAUUAGAUUCGUUUUUCGUCCAACUUUACGUUUGUCUCAACUCUUCACCUUUAAGGACAAAAUUCCUAACGUUUUAAGAUCUUGUGUUGUGUAUUCCUUCACGUGUCGUUGCUGUUCCGCAACGUAUUUGGGCCAAACGGUCCGUCACUUGCACACACGAGUUUCUGAACAUUUGGGUGUUUCUCCUCUAACAGGCAGUAAAAGCAGCAAUCCGACCAUGUCUAGUAUCCUUUCCCAUCUUGAUAGCACUGGUCACUCCGCUUCUCUUAAUGAUUUUAAGAUUAUUUCUUGUUGCUCUUCUCCAGACGAACUCCUCAUUCGAGAAAGUCUUCUCAUUAACAAACUCAAACCCUCUCUCAACUUACAGGGCAGCUCGGUCCCUCUACUUCUACUCUGAUCCAUUCCUCUUUCUACUUUUGUAAUAUAAUAUCUUGUAAAUAGUUGUAAUUUAUUCAUAUUUCUGUGUUUUCCGCUUUGUAUGUCAUUGCUCUGAAGAUGUCUUAAGUUAAAGACGAAACGUU